rnacentral:lncRNA from 1 species
CAAGGAAUACAUGGAAAGUGUUUGAAAUAAUAGUCUAUGAUUUCAAUGAACCUAAGAUGAGAAGGGAGUUGUGGGAAGACAUAAAUUGCAUCCAUGAUCAUACAUGGUCCAUCGCCAGUGUUAGGUGAUUUCAAUUGUAUAUUUCAUAGGGGUGAGAAGCUUGGAAGGCCUGUAACUGUGGCAGAGACAGAAUUUUUAGGCAUAUGUAGCAAAGUGUGGACACCAAGACCUGAAAUCUUCAGGAGCUUUUUACACACAGAAUAAUAAAUAGAAAG